rnacentral:tRNA from 1 species
GAGGGGAUAGCUCAGUGGUAGAAUGCAUGCCUAGUAUGCACAAGGUCCUGGGUUCAAUCCCCAGUACCUCUA